UUGGACGUUGCUGAAGCAGCAGAAGCAUCAAUGGAUUUUGACCAGUUAAGCUCUGGAAUUUCAUAUUUUGAUACUCACUUUCAAGGCCUCAUAGUUCAGAAAAGUGAUGAUGACGACUCUGAGAAUGAGUCAGCACUUGAAAUUCAGCCAUACUUGAUGGAAGAAAAAUUGUCGAAGCACUUGAUAAUCACUUGACUGCUAUCCAAAGGGACCAUGAACUCAGGUCCCAGAUAGAAGAAAGGAAAAUAAGAAGUGAUGCGGCUUAUGAAGGCGCCAAAAGAAAAGAGAAAGCUCUCCUGGAAGAAAAACUCCGCCAAGAAAAAACCAAAGCAGAAGC